CCUGACUGCAAGUGAUCUGCCCACCUUGGCCUCCCAAAGUACUGGGAUUACAGGCAUGAGCCACCAUGCUCACUCAGCCUUGUGUCCGUAUUCUUGAUCAAGAAUGAUGUAUAUUUCUUUUAGGUUUGAGAAGGGGAGAGUGAUGUAUCUGGUCCCCCUAGCAGGGCUAGGAAUUUUCAAGGGUGGAGUAAUUAAAGACUUUUUUAAAGGAAUAUAUAUUCCCACUUUCUAAUUAGAGAAUGUCUGCACUGCAAGUGGCCACAAACUACAACAGCUCAGUGGGGACAGAAGAUUGGAUGUCGUGUCCCAAUAGCCUUAUUCAUCUCUUUUUCCUUCCAAGUGUUGUUUUUUUUUUUU